AGAGAGAGACAUGCGCGCAUAUCAAUAAGCGGAGGAAAAGAAACUAACAAGGAUUCCCUUAGUAACGGCGAGUGAAGCGGGAAGAGCUCAAAUUUGAAAUCUUCAAGGUUUUACCUUGACGAAUUGUAGUUUAAAGAAGUGUUUUCUGCUGAAGUUUUGGUAAAAGUUCUUUGGAAUAGGGACAUCAUAGAGGGUGAGAAUCCCGUAUUUGACCAUUAUUUUCAGCUUUGUGAUACACUUUCAAAGAGUCGGAUUGUUUGGGAAUGCAGUCCAAAAUGGGUGGUAAAUUUCAUCUAAAGCUAAAUAUUGGCGAGAGACCGAUAGCGAACAAGUACCGUGAGGGAAAGAUGAAAAGAACUUUGAAAAGAGAGUUAAACAGUACGUGAAAUUGUCAAAAGGGAAGCGUUUGACACCAGUGUUGUUUUCUCGAAAAUCAAUUAAAAAUGGCUCGAUUUUGUAUUGUUGAGACCUUAAAAGCUCACUGUACAUUUUUCGUGUCUUUUUUAAUGCAUCUUUUCGUUUAACAAGUCAACAUCAGUUUCUUUUGUUGUAAAAGGGUCAUUGGAAGGUGGCUUUCUUUUCGGAGAAAGUGUUUAUAGCCUUUGGCCUCUGCAAUCGGAGAGACUGAGGUCUGCAGCGUAGACUCUUCGGGGUUAGAUACAUUUGUGCUAAGUUAUAGCUUUUUAUAGACAACUUGUUGACUAUAAUUAGUCUUGUAGCUUACUCGCUUAUGCUAUUUUACCUACGCUUAGGAUGUUGAAGAUGUAGCACAUCAU
rnacentral:rRNA from 1 species